UACGGAGGGGGCUAGCGUUGUUCGGAAUUACUGGGCGUAAAGCGCACGUAGGCGGUUCGGCAAGUCAGAGGUGAAAUCCCCAGGCUCAACCUGGGAAUUGCCUUUGAUACUGCCGGACUAGAGUCCGGGAGAGGGUAGUGGAAUUCCCAGUGUAGAGGUGAAAUUCGUAGAUAUUGGGAAGAACACCGGUGGCGAAGGCGGCUACCUGGACCGGUUCUGACGCUGAGGUGCGAAAGCGUGGGGAGCAAACAGG
rnacentral:rRNA from 1 species